AUGAGAGGCGGUGAUUGGUCAACCCCUGGACUGACGUCACUUCCCCGCGGGGCGAUUAGCCUGAGAGAGGAGGGCUGGCAGUCCAGAGCGCUGGGGGCGGCCGGGGCGCCCGGGGCUGCCGACGAGCGCCGCGCGGGUGCCCUCGGUGCGCCCCGGGGCGCUGUCGGAGCGGGCAGCCGGCGUCGGUGCCCGGACGGACAGCGCGGGGAGCCGGGCGGGAACGCUCUCGCCCGGGGGGCAGCGGCACGUGGNNNNNNNNNNNNNNNNNNNNNNNNNNNNNNNNNNNNNNNNNNNNNNNNNNNNNNNNNNNNNNNNNNNNNNNNNNNNNNNNNNNNNNNNNNNNNNNNNNNNAACCCGAAGAAGCCCAGUGCCUGCCCAGCGGACUCCAGCCCGGCGGAGCGGCCGCGCCCGGACCAGAUUGUCCUGCGAAGUGUGAUGGGACAGCCUCUUUUCAGCUUCUCUGAAAAUGGAGACAGAGGAGCUGUGGGUCUUGCUUGCCAAGAUCAUAGGAUUGGAAUCCAGAGCCAUGCUCCUCACUCCAGGACACGCACCAUCAUCAGAGGCGGAAGAGCCAAGCAGAAAGGGAAGAUGCAGUUGCUGCUGUCUUGAAGCUGCAUCAGUCAGGGGCCAGGAUGGAGGAGGACUGGGGCAGAGAGCACAGCGCAGGUUCUGCUCCCACUCCUGCUCUUCUGGGACUUGGCUGGGAACCUGGGGAAACGUGCCCUACCCCCUACCCAGCCUGUAGAGGUCUUGGCCUUUGAUCUGUGGGCCACCCUUUCUGCCCUCGUCACACUGUAUGCCUGUCCCAGUGCAGGGUGUUGGAGCAAACAGAAGCUCCACCCCACAUCUCCGCCCCGAGGACCAAAGGCGGCAUGCCGGGUGGUUGCCCACGCAAGGGGCUCCAGCCUUCUAGGAGUUAAUGAUGCCCUCUCCGCAGCUGUCCUCCCCUUGGUGCUCCUCUUCCUCCCUCCUCCUGCUCACAGCAGGCAGGGCCUGGACCUGGGAGCCAUGCCGCUGUGCUGUUGCCAGGGGAGCCGGGAGCCAGAUCCGAGCUAUGCAGGGAAAAGGCCCGGCCUGUCAAAGUGUCUGAGAUGAACCGCCGCCGUCCCCGUGCAGCUGGGCUCAGACGUGUCUCUGCUCUUGUUCUGUGCCUGAGAAUGGCGAAGCCCAGUGAGGUUCAAGGGCAAACUCACUAUUCAUUAGUCAGGGGUUCUUGACGUCCGUGUCUCCCAGGGAUGGGUCCUCCCUCCCUUUUCCUCUCCCUCCUGUGACACAUUCCUGGGUGCCUUUGGUGAGGGCUGCACACCCUCCUCCUCCUGCCCAACUCUUCUCCAAAGGCCCCUGAAUAAACUCCCCCAAGGAGACCAGGCAGGGCAGAGACAAUGGCCGCAGGAAACCAUUCAGGCGGGACUCCAGCCGUGCUGGCCCGCCCUCCCCCCCCAGCACCCCUGUGGGCCCACUCCCCUCUGACUCAGGGUACCCCUGGACUACUAGACCACACAGGCCUGGACAAGACAGAGGCACUGGGCACUGCCCUCAGGGCAACAGGCCAGUCCAGUGCCAUGCUCAGUGGGCUCGUUGGAUGCUUCCAUGACCUGUAUCUUACAUUGCUGUCUCUCUCAAUGCCUCUGUCUACCAUCACGUAUCUCUUCUAAGACACUCAAACACCAUUGGUGGGAAAGUAUGAAAUGCGGCAAUAUCAGAAUGUAAAGGACACAUGUACUUAGUUACAAGCAAAUUGCACUGCUAGAAAUUAACGGUUAACAGGUAGACGUUCCCAAAGAAGAAUGUACAAGAAUGUUCAUCUGAGCGGUUAUUUUUUAAGAAUGUAAAGAAAUGGAAAUGAACCUGUGGUCCAUUCAUACUGCGUGAAAUACUAUGCAGCUGCAAAAAUGAAUGUGGUAGGUCUCUAAAUAUUAGCUGAUAUGGAAGGCUGGCCAGUAUAUAUUGUUGGGUGAAUAGAAUAAAUCGCAGAACAGGCAAUAGAACAUGAUCUUAUUUGUGUGUAUUUAAAAGUGAAAAAUAGGCUUAUAUGUGGAGAGAUUCUGGGUGUGUGUAUUAGAAGACUACCUCUGGGGGGUGAGAAGGAAUGAAUGCAGUCUUCCAUUUUCUUUCCAUGCUUGUGGAAUACUUUCACUGAGAAAUGUAAAGAGAUUAUUGAGUAUAUCAGGCUUAACCUCUGUUAACCAAGUUGGAGUAGGAGCUCCAAGAGAAUUUUGCCAUUGGCCUUCCUUGUUUGCUUCACCCCAGAGAAAGCAAGUGGCCCAGCAAGUGUCUCUGAGGAAUGACACAAGGUCUCAGGAGUGGGAGGUGUGGGUCUGACUCCAUGCAUGACAGGCCAGGACCUGGCCACAGUGACUGGAGGAACUCUCCAUUGGGCCCUGAUGGGCCUGAGUGGGCCCUAGGUGGGAUGGGGUCUGGGGGUGGGAAAGGUGCCAUAGAUUGGACCAAGUAGCCACCCAGAGGACCCUGGGAAAUCUGCAGGAUUGCAGAGUAGUCCCUGGGACUUGGGCAACACCUACAGUCAGCCCAAAUCAGCUGUGGAGCUUGAAGAGUGAGCAGGAAAGAAGAAUUUAAAAUGGACCAUGGGCAGAGGGUUGCAGUAACUCCUCAUAACUUUAUAGACUGUCGGUAUUAUUGUUACCCACCCAUUCUAUAGAUGAGGACAAUGAGGCCCAGAAAAAUUAAGUUUUAGGUCCCAAGUCACACAGCUAGUUAGUGCCAAAACUAAGAUUCAAACUCAAGUCUCUUGGACUGUGAAGUCUUAACUCCAGACCGCAAAGAAAUCCUGUUUGGUGUGGCCACUAGGAAGUCCCCCAAGCAGGAACCCCUCCUUUCCACCUCCCAUUCAUAGAGAGAUUAACCCCUCCUCUGCAAGGUUACCUCCUCAAGUAGUUGCUUACCUGGGGUCCUCCCCCAGUUUUACCUAAUGCCAUGUAGCUCCUGCAAUAUGUCUGGCCCUGGACUGGGCAGUGGAGGGGUGGGGAGGAGGAUUAUAGAGACUUUGGUUAGUAUAGCCUCCCCUCCAGAGCUGUCCAGGGCCAGAAGGGUUGUCCAGAUGGACUUCCUGUGGGUGGUGGCCUGGAGGCAAAGACACAGCCCAGCUGGUUAAGACAAGCCUGAAUGAGCGUGGGAAAGUGGGGGCAAGGUACUGGGGAAGGCUCAGGGCUUCCACCUGGUGGGAAAUGGGAAGUGGGAGUAGGUGGGGUCAGAGGGUCUAACUGCUGCAGCCCCCCAGUCCCCUGGCUGCAGGUCACCUACACUUCUGCAGACUCUGCUUCUCCCCUGACCUGAUAGAAGCCUGAUGGGCACUGCUGGGCCUGCCCCAGUGCUUCCCAGAGUCUGGCCUGAUGAAGUCCUCAAGGAAAGCUGAAGCUGCAGAAGCAGCAGUCGGUGAGCAGAGAUCUCACUCAGGGAUCUAGAAUCACUGGGGCUCUUGCAAGUCCAGGUGGUCCCCCUGGAUGGUCCCGAGGGAGGACUCGGCAAGUUCUGCAAGAGAAGCCUCUUCUCAUCCUAUAAACCUCACCUCUCUCUACCCCAUGGGCUUCCCUGGUGGCUCAGAUGGUAAAGUGUCUGCAGUGCGGGAGACUCGGGUUUGAUCCCUAGGUCCGGAAGAUCCCCUGGAGAAGGAAAUGGCAACCCACUCCAGUAUUCUUGCCUGGAAAACCCCAUGGACAGAGGGGAGACUCGGGUUUGAUCCCUAGGUUGGGAAGAUCCCCUAGAGAAGGGAAUGGCUUCCCACUCCAGUAUUCUUGCCUGGGGAGCUCCAUGGACAGAGGAGCCUGGCGGGCUACAGUCCAUGGGAUUGCACAGUCGGAUACAACUGAAUGACUAACACACGCACACGCACUCUUCCCAACUCACAACAAAUAAAGUUUCUUUGCAAAGCCUUCCAUGUGUCUGGUCAGUUCUGUGGGAAGAAUGUGGGUGAGGAAAGUCAGAUUUAGCCACUAGCAAAGAAUUCCUGCUGUGUCAGGUGUGGUGGGUCCCUGAUCUGGAUCCAAGAAACCCCCCCAAGGUCUGGGAAAGUGUCUCCCUGAUCUGGGCUAGGGUCAUCUGGCUAAGAGAAUGGAGGCCAUUGGCUACCGGGUCCAAGGCUUACCUCUAGCCUUGAGGGUGGCAAUCUUAGGUGUGCUACCCUCUGAAGUGGGGUUCUGUGGGUUCUGUAUGUUCUGGAUUUUGAGGCAGCUCCCAAACCUCCAUCAGUGUCUUGUCAUUUCAUCCUCAUAGUGACAAACACCCCCACCGCCAUAAGACUUAAUCCCGUUUUACAGAGUAGCUAACAGAGGCUUCAGAGAUGCUAAGAAACGUGCAUACUCACACAGCUGGGAAGCAGUGGUGCUGGGCUCCAGAUCUCAUUUCUGUGACCAGAAUGGGAUGCAAGGCUUCAUAAAUCUGAAAGACCCUGACAAGGUUCUCUAUGAAUGUGCAAUCUGACAGCAUCCCUUUUCACAAGGCCCUGGAACCCCAGACAAUUAUCAAAACUUUCUUGCGCCAGGCACUAAGUGCUUGCUCAUGUCCUAAGUCAUGGUUUAAUCCUCAGACAUCCCUAUACAAAACGGGCACUGUAUUAAUUCCUGUUUAACCAACGGUGAGAGUGAGGCUGAGGUAGCUGGCGGGUGCAGGGAUGGGUGCAGCCAGGGUGUCGGCACAGGCACACCAGCCCAGAUGCCAGGCAUUCAAACCCCUGCCCACGCGGCCUCCCUAAGUGCCUGACGUCCUACCAGCCUCGCCCUGCAGGGCAACCCCAGUGAAACGCUCAUCUCCGCUCCACCGCGCUCAGGGGGCCGCGCUCAGGGCCGGCGGCGGUACGUCGGGGGUGGUCACGCCUGACUGUACCUGGCGCGUCG
rnacentral:lncRNA from 1 species